rfam:Hammondia hammondi strain H.H.34 contig04046, whole genome shotgun sequence.
GCUUAUUCUCAGGGCGGGGUGCAAGUCCCCACCGGCGGUAAAUCACCUGUUACGGUGAAAGCCCGCGAGCGCUCAGCCAGUCUUUUGCAGUUUGGUUAGAGGUCAGCAGAUCCGGUGUAAUUCCGGGGCCGACGGUUAUAGUCCGGAUGGGAGAGAGUAACG